ACGGCUCAGUAACACGUCGGUAACCUGCCCUAUGGUCGAGCAUAACCUCGGGAAACUGAGGGUAAUUCUCGAUAGAAGAUUCUUCCUGGAAUGGUGUUUCUUCCAAACACGUGCCAUAGGAUGGGCCGGCGGCUGAUUAGGCUGUUGGUGGGGUAACGGCCCACCAAACCUAUGAUCAGUACGGGCCUUGAGAGAGGUAGCCCGGAGAGGGACACUGAGAUACGGGUCCCAGCCCCACGGGGUGCAGCAGGCGCGAAACCUUUACAAUGCACGAAAGUGUGAUAGGGGGAUACUCAGUGCUUACGGUUAUGCUGUAGGCUUUUGUCGAUCGUAAAUAGAUCGGCGAAUAAGUGGUGGGUAAGACUGGUGCCAGCCGCCGCGGUAACCCCAGCGCCACAAGUGGUCAUCGCGAUUAUUGGGCCUAAAGCGUUCGUAGCCGGUUUGGUGCAUCUCUUGUGAAAUUGUUCGGCUUAACCGAACAGCGUGCAGGAGACACGGCCAGACUCGAGACCGGGAGGCGUAUGAAGUAUUCCAUGGGGACUGGUAAAAUGGGAUAAUCCAUGGAAGACUACCGAUGGCGAAGGCAUCAUACGAGAACGGAUCUGACGGUGAGGAACGAAAGCUAGGGGAGCGAACCGGGUUAGAUACCCGAGUAGUCCUAGCCGUAAACGCUGCGAGCAAGGUGUCGCGCAUCUCACGAAGAUGCGCGGUGUCGAAACGAAGGUGAUAAGCUCGCCGCCUGGGAAGUACGGUCGCAAGACUGAAACUUUAAGGAAUUGGCGGGGGCGCACUACAAGGGGUGCGGCGUGCGGUUUAAUCCAAACUCAACGCGGAGCACCUUACUAGGGGGCGACGGCAGGAUGAAGAUCGUGCUGAAGACACUAUCAGACGAGCCGAGAGGUGGUUGCAUGGCC
rnacentral:rRNA from 1 species